GGUUAAGCGACUAAGCGUACACGGUGGAUGCCCUGGCAGUCAGAGGCGAUGAAGGACGUGCUAAUCUGCGAUAAGCGUCGGUAAGGUGAUAUGAACCGUUAUAACCGGCGAUUUCCGAAUGGGGAAACCCAGUGUGUUUCGACACACUAUCAUUAACUGAAUCCAUAGGUUAAUGAGGCGAACCGGGGGAACUGAAACAUCUAAGUACCCCGAGGAAAAGAAAUCAACCGAGAUUCCCCCAGUAGCGGCGAGCGAACGGGGAGCAGCCCAGAGCCUGAAUCAGUGUGUGUGUUAGUGGAAGCGUCUGGAAAGGCGCGCGAUACAGGGUGACAGCCCCGUACACAAAAAUGCACAUGCUGUGAGCUCGAUGAGUAGGGCGGGACACGUGGUAUCCUGUCUGAAUAUGGGGGGACCAUCCUCCAAGGCUAAAUACUCCUGACUGACCGAUAGUGAACCAGUACCGUGAGGGAAAGGCGAAAAGAACCCCGGCGAGGGGAGUGAAAAAGAACCUGAAACCGUGUACGUACAAGCAGUGGGAGCACGCUUCGGCGUGUGACUGCGUACCUUUUGUAUAAUGGGUCAGCGACUUAUAUUCUGUAGCAAGGUUAACCGAAUAGGGGAGCCGAAGGGAAACCGAGUCUUAACUGGGCGUUAAGUUGCAGGGUAUAGACCCGAAACCCGGUGAUCUAGCCAUGGGCAGGUUGAAGGUUGGGUAACACUAACUGGAGGACCGAACCGACUAAUGUUGAAAAAUUAGCGGAUGACUUGUGGCUGGGGGUGAAAGGCCAAUCAAACCGGGAGAUAGCUGGUUCUCCCCGAAAGCUAUUUAGGUAGCGCCUCGUGAAUUCAUCUCCGGGGGUAGAGCACUGUUUCGGCAAGGGGGUCAUCCCGACUUACCAACCCGAUGCAAACUGCGAAUACCGGAGAAUGUUAUCACGGGAGACACACGGCGGGUGCUAACGUCCGUCGUGAAGAGGGAAACAACCCAGACCGCCAGCUAAGGUCCCAAAGUCAUGGUUAAGUGGGAAACGAUGUGGGAAGGCCCAGACAGCCAGGAUGUUGGCUUAGAAGCAGCCAUCAUUUAAAGAAAGCGUAAUAGCUCACUGGUCGAGUCGGCCUGCGCGGAAGAUGUAACGGGGCUAAACCAUGCACCGAAGCUGCGGCAGCGACGCUUAUGCGUUGUUGGGUAGGGGAGCGUUCUGUAAGCCUGUGAAGGUAUGCUGUGAGGCAUGCUGGAGGUAUCAGAAGUGCGAAUGCUGACAUAAGUAACGAUAAAGCGGGUGAAAAGCCCGCUCGCCGGAAGACCAAGGGUUCCUGUCCAACGUUAAUCGGGGCAGGGUGAGUCGACCCCUAAGGCGAGGCCGAAAGGCGUAGUCGAUGGGAAACAGGUUAAUAUUCCUGUACUUGGUGUUACUGCGAAGGGGGGACGGAGAAGGCUAUGUUGGCCGGGCGACGGUUGUCCCGGUUUAAGCGUGUAGGCUGGUUUUCCAGGCAAAUCCGGAAAAUCAAGGCUGAGGCGUGAUGACGAGGCACUACGGUGCUGAAGCAACAAAUGCCCUGCUUCCAGGAAAAGCCUCUAAGCAUCAGGUAACAUCAAAUCGUACCCCAAACCGACACAGGUGGUCAGGUAGAGAAUACCAAGGCGCUUGAGAGAACUCGGGUGAAGGAACUAGGCAAAAUGGUGCCGUAACUUCGGGAGAAGGCACGCUGAUAUGUAGGUGAAGCGACUUGCUCGUGGAGCUGAAAUCAGUCGAAGAUACCAGCUGGCUGCAACUGUUUAUUAAAAACACAGCACUGUGCAAACACGAAAGUGGACGUAUACGGUGUGACGCCUGCCCGGUGCCGGAAGGUUAAUUGAUGGGGUCAGCGCAAGCGAAGCUCUUGAUCGAAGCCCCGGUAAACGGCGGCCGUAACUAUAACGGUCCUAAGGUAGCGAAAUUCCUUGUCGGGUAAGUUCCGACCUGCACGAAUGGCGUAAUGAUGGCCAGGCUGUCUCCACCCGAGACUCAGUGAAAUUGAACUCGCUGUGAAGAUGCAGUGUACCCGCGGCAAGACGGAAAGACCCCGUGAACCUUUACUAUAGCUUGACACUGAACAUUGAGCCUUGAUGUGUAGGAUAGGUGGGAGGCUUUGAAGUGUGGACGCCAGUCUGCAUGGAGCCGACCUUGAAAUACCACCCUUUAAUGUUUGAUGUUCUAACGUUGACCCGUAAUCCGGGUUGCGGACAGUGUCUGGUGGGUAGUUUGACUGGGGCGGUCUCCUCCUAAAGAGUAACGGAGGAGCACGAAGGUUGGCUAAUCCUGGUCGGACAUCAGGAGGUUAGUGCAAUGGCAUAAGCCAGCUUGACUGCGAGCGUGACGGCGCGAGCAGGUGCGAAAGCAGGUCAUAGUGAUCCGGUGGUUCUGAAUGGAAGGGCCAUCGCUCAACGGAUAAAAGGUACUCCGGGGAUAACAGGCUGAUACCGCCCAAGAGUUCAUAUCGACGGCGGUGUUUGGCACCUCGAUGUCGGCUCAUCACAUCCUGGGGCUGAAGUAGGUCCCAAGGGUAUGGCUGUUCGCCAUUUAAAGUGGUACGCGAGCUGGGUUUAGAACGUCGUGAGACAGUUCGGUCCCUAUCUGCCGUGGGCGCUGGAGAACUGAGGGGGGCUGCUCCUAGUACGAGAGGACCGGAGUGGACGCAUCACUGGUGUUCGGGUUGUCAUGCCAAUGGCACUGCCCGGUAGCUAAAUGCGGAAGAGAUAAGUGCUGAAAGCAUCUAAGCACGAAACUUGCCCCGAGAUGAGUUCUCCCUGACUCCUUGAGAGUCCUGAAGGAACGUUGAAGACGACGACGUUGAUAGGCCGGGUGUGUAAGCGCAGCGAUGCGUUGAGCUAACCGGUACUAAUGAACCGUGAGGCUUAACCUU
rnacentral:rRNA from 1 species